CUGUCAGUCAGUGACUCCAGCCAGCACAGCAGAGAAGUACAGAAAAAUAUAUUCUUGACUCUUUCGGAUUUGCCAGCCCUGCAAGAUGGAGAGUCCUAUUCAUGCUUCUUUGAAGACUAUGAAAGCCCAGCAGUGCUGAUGGGAUCAGGCAUCAUGUGUCCCUCACCAGAUCCCAGCCAUGCACCAAUUUUGAAAGCAGGAACAGACCACAUAACCAUUCAGCUGGUGGUACGCUUUCGUAGCGUUUUCAUUGCUUCAACAGCAUUCUCUUUCUAUGAUUGCAUGGCAGUGGCGUCUCUGAGGAAAUUGGCACCAUGCCAGGGGUGUGUGAGCAGCCAUUGGGGGUGUAACUGGUGUGUCCAUCAACAUCUCUGCACUCAUAAAACCAUCUGUGAGGAAGGAGCCAUUAUCUACAAUGAAAAGGUU